UACGUAGGGUGCAAGCGUUGUCCGGAAUUAUUGGGCGUAAAGAGCUCGUAGGCGGCUUGUCGCGUCGGCUGUGAAAACCUGGGGCUCAACCCCGGGCCUGCAGCCGAUACGGGCAAGCUAGAAUUCGGUAGGGGAGACUGGAAUUCCUGGUGUAGCGGUGAAAUGCGCAGAUAUCAGGAGGAACACCCGUGGCGCAAGCGGCCACCUAGCCCACACCUGACGCUGAGGCGCGACAGCGUGGGGAGCGAACUGG
rnacentral:rRNA from 1 species